GGCAAGAUGGCCGAGCGGUCUAAGGCGCUAGGGUCAGGUUUAUCUGAUCUCACAUGUUCUUCGGAAUAUUCCUAGUCUCGAAAGGGGCGUGGGUUCGAAUCCCACUCUUGUCA
rnacentral:tRNA from 2 species